ACCCAGGAGAAGCUGCUCAACUACGUGUUGGACAUUGAGAAGCCAGCGACAGAGUUGAUUGUGAAAACAAAAAAGAGUGUCCUGACACGUGCUGACUUUUGGAGCCUUGGUUUGAACAAUGAAAUGGACGCAACAAUUGGAAAUGCG